rnacentral:lncRNA from 1 species
GUGAGCCUCACGCACUUGCUGACUCAGGGCAGAACAGCCACAGGGCCUCGCCCGUGAGUGUGGCUUGGACACACUGGGGCAUGGAGCUUGUCCCUGAGUUCCACACUUGUACUAGGAGGGCUUCCCGUGCGGUGGGGCGUGAAUUACGAAGAAAAUCACACCUCCCUCCUCCUGAACGAAACGAUUCCCAUGCCUCACUCGGGUCACAGAAACUGAGGUCACCUGCCCUUGGCCCAGCGUGUAGGAGGUCAGGACACAGCCCCCACCCAUGCCUGCCCUAGGUGCCCUCUGAGACCCUAACCUCCCGAGACUGCCAGAAGCCCUCCAGAUAAGUGCAUUCCGGUUUGAACUGCGGCGUGACAGGGUCUCUGUGAAUGCAAGGUGCGGUGCGCCAGUGCUGGAAGCGUGCAGGGGCCGGGCGUCCCACCCACCCGUGAUCACUCACUACCUUCCCCAGACGCACCAGGACAGCAGGUGUGCCCAGGCUCGGGGCCAGGUGGACGAGAGUCUGAGAUGUGGGGCCGUGGACCCCAUUCGACUCCACCAGCCUCCUUUUCCUCCUCUGUAAAUUAGGGUGACAAAAGGCCUCUCAGCAGAGUUGUUGUGAAGCAGCGAAGCCCCAUGGUAAAGGGCUCACGAGGCUUCAGACCACACAGGUGAGCCCCCUACAGGUGAGCCUCACACGAGUGAGACCCACACAGGUGAGCCCCACACGGAUGAGCCUCACACGGAUGAGCCCCACACGGGUGAGCCCCACACGACUGAGCCCCACACGACUGAGCCCCACACGGGUGAGCCCCACACGACUGAGCCCCACACGACUGAGCCCCACACGGGUGAGCCCCACACAGGUGAGCCCUCCACAGGUGAAUCCCACAUGAGUGAGCUCUACAUAGGUGAGCCCCACACAGGUAAGCCCCACACGAGUGAGCCCCACAUGAGUGAGCCCCACACAAGUGAGACCCACAUGGAUGAACCCCACAUGAGUGAGCUCCCCACACGGGUGGGCCCCACACGGGUGAGCCCUCCACAGGUGAAUACCACAUGAGUGAGCUCUACAUAGGUGAGCCCCACACAGGUGAGCCCCACACGGGUGAGCUGCACAUGAGUGAGACCUCCACAGGUGAGCCCUUCACAGGUGAGCCCCACAUGGGUGAGCCCCACACGUCAGCCCUCCACAGGUGAGCCCCACACAGGUGAGCCCCACACGAGUGAGCCCCACAUGAGUGAGCCCCACACAAGCGAGCCCCACACGGAUGAACCCCACACAAGUGAGCUCCCCACAUAGGGGAACCUCACACAGGUGAGCCCCCACAGGAGAGCAACCAGAGUCACCCAGGAUGCUCCCCAUCACGGCCCAUUUCAUUCUGUGGUGGCUCCAGGAAAGACUUUGUCAUUUGAGCAUAGGUCUGCCCCUUCCAGCUCCUUCCAGGUUAACAGGCGUGAGGGGCCCAGUCGGAGAGGCGGGGGGCUUUGAACUUCUGAAGGGUGGGGUGUGGUCUGUCGCUGGACGAUCGUGGGGGCCUGUGCUCCUUCCCCGUUAGGAUCUGCUUGAGUCAGCGCCUGUCACCGGGCACCUUCACAGCACAGGCAAUGCAAGGAUUCUCCCUUCUUGACGUUGUGGACACUCC